rnacentral:tRNA from 1 species
UCCCUGGUGGUCUAGUGGUUAAGGACUCGGCACUGCUACUGCUGUGGCUCGAGUUCAAUCCCUGGCCUGGAAA